rfam:Coprinopsis cinerea okayama7#130 chromosome 6 cont3.6, whole genome shotgun sequence.
GCUGGAAUGGCCGAGUCGUUAAGGCGAGUGAUUUGAAUUUUCAAACUUAUCACUUGGUGUUUCACCGCGUAGGUUCAAAUCCUGCUUCCAGCG